GACGAACGCUGGCGGCGUGCCUAAUACAUGCAAGUAGAACGCAGUUGGAACGGGUGAGUAACGCGUAGGUAACUUCUUCAUAGCGGGGUUAACUCUUGGAAACGAUAGCUAAACCGAUACUUUGCGAUGGACCUGCGUUGUAUUAGCUAGUUGGUGAGGUAACGGCUCACCAAGGCGACGAUACAUAGCCGACCUGAGAGGGUGAUCAGCCACACUGGAACUGAGACACGGCCCAGACGCCUACGGGAGGCAGCAGUAGGGAAUCUUCGGCAAUGGACGUAAGUCUGACCGAGCAACGCCGCGUGAGUGAAGAAGGUUUUCGGAUCGUAAAACUCUGUUGUUAGGGAAGCGGUAUCUAACCAGAAAGCCACGGCUAACUACGUGCCAGCAGCCGCGGUAAUAC
rnacentral:rRNA from 1 species